UCCUGAUGACCAUGACCCUCAGGGCUACAAGGACGCUUGAGUCGCGGAGAGUGAAGUCAAGGCGGGGGCAGAGUUGGGAGGCCAAAUAGUGGGCUCUUCCUGAGACGUGACUCACUCCGCUAUUCUUAAUUUUCUCUUUCUGUUUCUCCCCUUAACGCAACAGCGACACGCAGGAGUCGCCUUCCUCUCCCAGUCCGGCUGAGUCAAAAUUGGGUUGAGCAACCCCAGGCGGCUGUCGGGGAAGAAGCAUUUUCCACCAUAACUUUCUGGAGCGCUGCUGCGUUGGGGUCAGCCCUCAGGCUUCCUGACAAUGCAGCUUUGUUCCCGUUUCCUCCCCAUCCCUGAUCCAGCGCUGGGGCGAUUGUGCUGCACAGCGGAGAGGCCCCCUGCUCAAACUCCCAGAGAUGAAAAAGGAUCUCGGUUAAAUAACCCCCGUAUCUUGGUGUCAGAAACAGACCAAAAUGCACGUCACCUAGCUCCUGGACCACCGCUCCUCCUUACCCUGGGCUGCCACCAUGCAGUUCUGCAUCGGAGGCCGGGCUGUCCCAGAAACCCUCUGCGAGAGAAGCCACGGAACAGCAGACUUCUUCUGACUGGCACCUCCCAUUUAUAGAACUCAAAUUGAAGACAUUGUAAAACAGUGCCGGGCUACAGCAGAGGACAAGAUGGGUGAAAGUCCCUCCUCCUGUGCCACCUGCCUGCUCCGUGGGAAGAGGCAAUAAGCAAAAUCAACGUAACUUGUGAGGCGAGUAAGUCUUAUGGAGAAAAAUGGACCAAGAAAGGAGAUGAGAAAAUGCUGAGAUCAAGGCCUAAAGCUGAGAGAGUAGACUGGUUGUUGGUGCCCACCCCCCCCCAAAGAGAAUGCUCCUCAAGCUUAAAGGGUUGCAGUUCCAAGCUCAUAUCCAAUUUCUUCUGGACUGCAUCUGAAAUGACCUCAAAGGGAUAAUCAUUUAUUAACCCCUUUGAUGAUUUCCAAAGUUCAAGAAUGAAACAAAAGAAAAGCCACCCGAAAUGAAAGGAAAAAACAUUGAACUUUCACCACACGAAGUCAUUGAUCCCUGUUUCUAGGACUUUACAGAGUGGCCUUUGCAUUGCAUUUUCUGUCUUCCGAACGUGACCAGCUGUGAGUGAAAAAGCCCACUUGCCAUCUGAUGACUCCAAAAUGCAGCCUACCAGUCGGCAAACUUAACCCUUAAGUAAGAGCAGACAACCAGAAAACUUCAGAUGCUUAGGGAAUCCCUUCAACAUGAAAGAUGGAGAUGAUAACAAACAGUGAUAAAGCAAAUUGGAGGAGGCAGAGGCAAUUCAGAAAGUAGAAAACUACCAAUGAAUAUAUGAUUAGUCUCGUCAGUGUCUUCAGAGAGGUGGGAGCAAUAUCGUAUCAUGAAACAAGAAUAAGGUGCAAAAACAACAACAAAAGGAACCAUGAAAAUUAAGGAAAAGUGCUUGAGAACUAAAGAUACAAUAAACUCAGUGGAAGAUGUAAAAAAUAAAGUUGAAGGACUCUUCCAAAAGGUGGGAGAAAAUGUGUAAAGUGAUAGAUAAGAAGAUAAAAAAAAAUAAGGAAUCAAUCCAGGGAGUUAUUUUUCUGACCAAUGAUAAUUCCAGAAAGAAAUUCCAGAAAGAAAAAGAAAAGAAAAAUAAUAGAGAAGAAAUUAUUAAAGAAAUAAUACAAGAAAUUGAAGAAGACAAAGUCCCAGACAGAAAAGGCCCAUCAAAUACACAACAUAAUGAAUUUUAAAUAGAUUCACACUAAGGUAUAAAAUCACUGAAUUUCAAUACACUGGGGAUAAACAAAAGCUUCUGGGGGGAAAGUAGGUUACAGAUCAAGAAAUGGGAAAUAUGAAUAGCAGGAGAGGUGGGAGGGCAGAGCUCAGUGGUUCAGUGCAUGCUUAGCAUGCACGAGGUCCUGGGUUCAAUCCCCAGUACCUUCAUUAAAAUAAAUAAAUAAACCUAAUUGCCUCUUUCCUCACCUCAAACAGAAAACAGAAUAGCAGGAAGCUUCUCACAUCGUCACCUAAACUAAGCUCGUAGACAGAAAGGAAAUUUUGAAGGAAAGUUAUUUCCAACUAUUCCCUUAAGUUCCUAAGUAAACGUGAGCAUAGAAUAGACAUUUUCAUAUAAGCAAGAUUUCAAAAUGCUUACUGCAGGGUCGGGGGAGGAUAUGGCUCACGUGAUAGAGCGCAUGCUUAGCCUACACAGGUCCUGGGCUCAGUCCCCAGUCCCUCCUCCAAAAAUGAAUCAAUACGUAAAGCUAACUACUUCCUCCCCUCCGAAAAAAUAAAAAACAUAAAAUAUAAAAUACUUACUGCCUGUGUACGCUUUCUCAGGAAUUCUUGGAGAACACGCCCCACCAAAAUGAGGAUGUAAACUGAGAAAGGGGAAGACAGAGGAUCCAGGAAAUAGGAGAGGCAACGUAAGAGAAAGAUGAGGGAGAUUCUUGGGAUGACAAUGAAGGGAACUGUAGUCAGAUUUUCAGUGAGCCUGGAGAGCAAGCCCAAAGUGGGGCUGGAGGACAGAAGCUCCUGGAGGAAGAUCUACAAGAAAA